rnacentral:tRNA from 1 species
UGGAGUAUAACUCAGUGGUAGAGCAUUUGCUUAGCAAUCAAAAGGCUAUGGCUUCAAGCCCUAGUACUACAC